AUGAACGCUGGCGGCGUGCUUAACACAUGCAAGUCGAACGAAGCACUUUAUUUGAUUUCCUUCGGGACUGAUUAUUUUGUGACUGAGUGGCGGACGGGUGAGUAACGCGUGGGUAACCUGCCUUGUACAGGGGGAUAACAGUUGGAGACGGCUGCUAAUACCGCAUAAGCGCACAGCAUCGCAUGAUGCAGUGUGAAAAACUCCGGUGGUAUAAGAUGGACCCGCGUUGGAUUAGCUAGUUGGUGAGGUAACGGCCCACCAAGGCGACGAUCCAUAGCCGACCUGAGAGGGUGACCGGCCACAUUGGGACUGAGACACGGCCCAAACUCCUACGGGAGGCAGCAGUGGGGAAUAUUGCACAAUGGGCGAAAGCCUGAUGCAGCGACGCCGCGUGAGCGAAGAAGUAUUUCGGUAUGUAAAGCUCUAUCAGCAGGGAAGAUAAUGACGGUACCUGACUAAGAAGCACCGGCUAAAUACGUG
rnacentral:rRNA from 1 species